rnacentral:rRNA from 1 species
UAGGGAAUCUUACCACGAAUGGGCGCAAGCCUGAUGGAGCAACACCGCGUGAGUGAAGAAGGGUUUCGGCUCGUAAAGCUCUGUUGUUAAAGAAGAACACGUAUGAGAGUAACUGUUCAUACGUUGACGGUAUUUAACCAGAAAGUCACGGCUAACUACGUGCCAGCAGCCGCGGUAAUACGUAGGUGGCAAGCGUUAUCCGGAUUUAUUGGGCGUAAAGAGAGUGCAGGCGGUUUUCUAAGUCUGAUGUGAAAGCCUUCGGCUUAACCGGAGAAGUGCAUCGGAAACUGGAUAACUUGAGUGCAGAAGAGGGUAGUGGAACUCCAUGUGUAGCGGUGGAAUGCGUAGAUAUAUGGAAGAACACCAGUGGCGAAGGCGGCUACCUGGUCUGCAACUGACGCUGAGACUCGAAAGCAUGGGUAGCGAACAGGAUUAGAUACCCUGGUAG